UACGUAGGGGCCUAGCGUUGUCCGGAAUUAUUGGGCGUAAAGAGCUCGUAGGCGGCCAGUUGCGUCUGCUGUGAAAUCCCGGGGCUCAACCCCGGGCGUGCAGUGGAUACGGGCUGGCUAGAGGCAGGCAGGGGAGAACGGAAUUCCCGGUGUAGCGGUGAAAUGCGCAGAUAUCGGGAGGAACACCGGUGGCGAAGGCGGUUCUCUGGGCCUGUACUGACGCUGAGGAGCGAAAGCGUGGGGAGCGAACAGG
rnacentral:rRNA from 1 species